GACGAACGCUGGCGGCGUGCUUAACACAUGCAAGUCGAACGGUAAGGCCCUUCGGGGUACACGAGUGGCGAACGGGUGAGUAACACGUGGGUGAUCUGCCCUGCACUUCGGGAUAAGCCUGGGAAACUGGGUCUAAUACCGGAUAGGACCACUGCCUGCAUGGGUGGUGGUGGAAAGCUUUUGCGGUGUGGGAUGGGCCCGCGGCCUAUCAGCUUGUUGGUGGGGUGAUGGCCUACCAAGGCGACGACGGGUAGCCGGCCUGAGAGGGUGACCGGCCACACUGGGACUGAGAUACGGCCCAGACUCCUACGGGAGGCAGCAGUGGGGAAUAUUGCACAAUGGGCGCAAGCCUGAUGCAGCGACGCCGCGUGAGGGAUGACGGCUUUCGGGUUGUAAACCUCUUUCAGCACCGACGAAGCGCAAGUGACGGUAGGGGCAGAAGAAGGACCGGCCAACUACGUGCCAGCAGCCGCGGUAA
rnacentral:rRNA from 1 species